rnacentral:rRNA from 1 species
UGCUAAACUGCAAGUCGAACGGUGAACACGGAGCUUGCUCUGUGGGAUCAGUGGCGAACGGGUGAGUAACACGUGAGCAACCUGCCCCUGACUCUGGGAUAAGCGCUGGAAACGGCGUCUAAUACUGGAUAUGUGACGUGACCGCAUGGUCUGCGUCUGGAAAGAAUUUCGGUUGGGGAUGGGCUCGCGGCCUAUCAGCUUGUUGGUGAGGUAAUGGCUCACCAAGGCGUCGACGGGUAGCCGGCCUGAGAGGGUGACCGGCCACACUGGGACUGAGACACGGCCCAGACUCCUACGGGAGGCAGCAGUGGGGAAUAUUGCACAAUGGGCGCAAGCCUGAUGCAGCAACGCCGCGUGAGGGACGACGGCCUUCGGGUUGUAAACCUCUUUUAGCAGGGAAGAAGCGAAAGUGACGGUACCUGCAGAAAAAGCGCCGGCUAACUACGUGCCAGCAGCCGCGGUAAUACGUAGGGCGCAAGCGUUAUCCGGAAUUAUUGGGCGUAAAGAGCUCGUAGGCGGUUUGUCGCGUCUGCUGUGAAAUCCGGAGGCUCAACCUCCGGCCUGCAGUGGGUACGGGCAGACUAGAGUGCGGUAGGGGAGAUUGGAAUUCCUGGUGUAGCGGUGGAAUGCGCAGAUAUCAGGAGGAACACCGAUGGCGAAGGCAGAUCUCUGGGCCGUAACUGACGCUGAGGAGCGAAAGGGUGGGGAGCAAACAGGCUUAGAUACCCUGGUAGUCCACCCCGUAAACGUUGGGAACUAGUUGUGGGGUCCAUUCCACGGAUUCCGUGACGCAGCUAACGCAUUAAGUUCCCCGCCUGGGGAGUACGGCCGCAAGGCUAAAACUCAAAGGAAUUGACGGGGACCCGCACAAGCGGCGGAGCAUGCGGAUUAAUUCGAUGCAACGCGAAGAACCUUACCAAGGCUUGACAUAUACGAGAACGGGCCAGAAAUGGUCAACUCUUUGGACACUCGUAAACAGGUGGUGCAUGGUUGUCGUCAGCUCGUGUCGUGAGAUGUUGGGU